rnacentral:rRNA from 1 species
AUUGAACGCUGGCGGCAGGCUUAACACAUGCAAGUCGAGCGGGGGAAGGUAGCUUGCUACCGGACCUAGCGGCGGACGGGUGAGUAAUGCUUAGGAGUCUGCCUAUUAGUGGGGGACAACAUCUCGAAAGGGAUGCUAAUACCGCAUACGUCCUACGGAAGAAAGCAGGGGAUCUUCGGACCUUGCGCUAAUAGAUGAGCCUAAGUCGGAUUAGCUAGUUGGUGGGGUAAAGGCCUACCAAGGCGACGAUCUGUAGCGGGUCUGAGAGGAUGAUCCGCCACACUGGGACUGAGACACGGCGCAGACUCCGACGGGAGGCAGCAGUGGGGAAUAUUGGACAAUGGGGGGAACCCUGAUCCAGCCAUGCCGCGUGUGUGAAGAAGGCCUUAUGGUUGUAAAGCACUUUAAGCGAGGAGGAGGCUACUUUAGUUAAUACCUAGAGAUAGUGGACGUUACUCGCAGAAUAAGCACCGGCUAACUCUGUGCCAGCAGCCGCCGUAA